AUGUAUCAUGAUAAAAUGGACACUUUACCCAUCGCCUGACUUUGUGUUGAAUUGGGCAAGAGCCUCCUCCCGUCCACGUGGGAUGGCCUUCCUGAUGUGGCUCUCCAAGACCAUCCCUGGAGGGCAUAAAACCUCACAAAUGCAUCAGGCCGUGUGCUGGGGAUGGGGCAUCGUCACGCCAGGUCUGACUAGGAAGGAGGAUGGGGAGGCAGGGCUGGGGGCUUUGAGGUCGAGGCGUGGCCGUGGAUUCCAGAAAGCCCCUUGGCUGGUGUGGUGCCUGCCCAGCGGCAUCCGUGUAUCCUAACACCCGCCCUCUGUGCCCCUGUGCCUGCAGGCCACAUCAAAGGACGCCCUGAAUGUGGCACAGAUGCAGGAGCAGACGCUGCAGUUGGAGCAACAGUCCAAGCUCAAAGCCACGGCGUAUGCCUCCGAGGACGGGGUCCUGACCGAGGCCAUGAUGGACACCCGCGUGCAAGAUGCUGUCCAGCAGCACCAGCAGAUGAUGCGCUGGCUGAAGAGGGGGAGGCCUGGGCCCGAGGACGAGCAACCCUCAUCCUGAGUCCAUGGGGAGACCACACCUCACGGAGCCUGGCCGCGGACCCCUCCCACCCCUGCCUUUGCGGCCCCGCACAUUUAGGAAAUACUCCCCGUAAUAAAGUC
rnacentral:lncRNA from 1 species